GCCCUUAACGCGGCGGCCGAACCGGCCUAUAUUGUUUGGUGCCGGGGCAACCCGGUCUAUGGCGAUAAACGGACGUCGUAAUAAACCUUUCGGACCCGGGGGCAGUACCCGGCGCCUCCACCCGUGUCGCUCGCCAUACCAGGUGCCCGUUCGUUGAAGCGGGACCGGUCUCUCCGAAAGGACGGACCUUGUGGGCGACACCGGCGGGGGCGAACUAGGAUCGACGAGGGCGUAAAAGGCUAUCUUUCGCUCGGCAUGGUUCCGCCGAUAUCGGGCCAAUCUCAUAGUUGCCAACGACAACUAUGCUCCGGUUGCUCAGGCCGCCUAAGCGGUCCUGAAAAACCAAGCCUACAAGUCCUAACGGGAUAAGCUCCGUUAGGCGGGGUUCGGAGGCACCUGGCAACAGAAGCCUCCACU
rnacentral:tmRNA from 1 species